rnacentral:rRNA from 1 species
UACAGGCGUAGCAAUAUGCGCUGACGAGCGGCAGACGGGCGAGGAACACGUACGCAACCUUCCUCUGACUGGGGCACAACUCCGUGAAAACGGGGCUAAUUCCCCAUAGAAUUCCGAAAAGGCAUCUUUUUGGAAUUAAAGAUUCAUCGGUCAGAGACGGGCGUGCGUCUGAUUAGCUAGCUGGCAGGGUAACGGCCUACCAAGGCAACGAUCAGUAGCUGGUGUGAGAGCAUGACCAGCCACACGGGCACUGAGAUACGGGCCCGACUCCUACGGGAGGCAGCAGUAAGGAAUAUUGGUCAAUGGACGCAAGUCUGAACCAGCCACGCCGCGUGCAGGAUGAAGGCGCUCUGCGUCGUAAACUGCUUUUUACAAGGAAGAAAAGAUUUGUUUCUACAGAUUUUGACGGUACUUGAGGAAUAAGCACCGGCUAACUCCGUGCCAGCAGCCGCGGUAAUACGGAGGGUGCAAGCGUUAUCCGGAUUUACUGGGUUUAAAGGGUGCGUAGGCUGAUUGAUAAGCCAGUGGUGAAAUCCUCGGGCUCAACCCGGGAAUUGCCGUUGAUACU